rnacentral:rRNA from 1 species
AGUGAACGCUGGCGGUAGGCCUAACACAUGCAAGUCGAACGGCAGCACAGUAAGAGCUUGCUCUUACGGGUGGCGAGUGGCGGACGGGUGAGGAAUACAUCGGAAUCUACUUUUUCGUGGGGGAUAACGUAGGGAAACUUACGCUAAUACCGCAUACGACCUACGGGGGAAAGCAGGGGAUCUUCGGACCUUGCGCGAUUGAAUGAGCCGAUGUCGGAUUAGCUAGUUGGCGGGGCAAAGGCACACCAAGGCGACGAUCCGUAGCUGGUCUGAGAGGAUGAUCAGCCACACUGGAAGUGAGACACGGUCCAGACUCCUACGGGGGGCCACAGUGGGGAAUAUUGGACAAUGGGGGCAAGCCUGAUCCAGCCAUACCGCGUGGGUGAAGAAGGCCUUCGGGUUGUAAAGCCCUUUUGUUGGGAAAGAAAAGCAGCAGGUUAAUACCCCGCUGUUCUGACGGUACCCAAAGAAUAAGCACCGGCUAACUUCGUG